AGGAUCGAAAGAAGAAGGAGCUAGUUCCGGAUCACAAACCAAGGCACAAGAUCGAGGUAAAGCACCCGUAUGAUUGUCUUUGCGCCGCUCGGAUACGAACACACCUUGAUCACCCGUGAUGCGCUUCCGCAACCUUGUAGUAACCUUGUUAGUUUAAGGCUUUUGUCAAAGUUAGUAGUGUUGAAGUUUCAUGUUUUUAAUAGAUGUUGUGAAUACUUAAGUAACUUAAACUUGUUGUUUGAAACGGUAGUCUAAAUGUAUGGUCUUUCGUAUGGUU